AGUAACUGUAAUUGAUGACAAAUUUUACAUUAUGCAAUUUUGUUGUGGUACAGAAUUGUUCAUAUUUUCUCAGUUUAUUGUAAAACUAGCUACAAAGCUGUUUACAUAUGUCUUUCUCUAUGGUGAUCACAGGAAAAACAAAAAAUCAAAUGUCAUGUUGCAGGCUUUUUUUGAAUAAUGCAAUGUGUGUGUGUAUGUUUUUUUUGUCUGAAGAGUGUAAAAGUGAUAAAACUAUUCCAACUAAACUACACAACACUACACACAAAAGCAAGUUUCAGAAGGUACUUAGGGUAUACUAAAGCUAAAUUGAAACCUAAAAACAGAAAUUACAACUUUAUUAUAAGGUUUUGGACUGAGGAUGAAUUUUUUUUUUAAAUAACUAAUGUAAAUUCUAAUGUUUAACCACCGUUUAUUAAUUUUUUUAGUUAUAAGCUACCUUGUUCAAUUACUGAAGUCAUUGCAGUCAUGAUUUAUUUCAGAGCUGCUUCAGAAUAACAAGAGGGCAACAGUAAGUUAUACUAGUAUCUUUAAUUACAGUGCAUUU